UACGUAGGGUGCGAGCGUUGUCCGGAAUUAUUGGGCGUAAAGAGCUCGUAGGCGGUGUGUCGCGUCGGCCGUGAAAACCUGGGGCUCAACUCUGGGCGUGCGGUCGAUACGGGCAUCACUAGAGUUCGGCAGGGGAGACUGGAAUUCCUGGUGUAGCGGUGAAAUGCGCAGAUAUCAGGAGGAACACCGGUGGCGAAGGCGGGUCUCUGGGCCGAUGACUGACGCUGAGGAGCGAAAGCAUGGGUAGCGAACGGG
rnacentral:rRNA from 1 species